GACGAACGCUGGCGGUGUGCUUAACACAUGCAAGUCGAACGGUAAGGCCCUUUCGGGGGUACACGAGUGGCGAACGGGUGAGUAACGCGUGAGUAACCUGCCCUCAUCUCUGGGAUAACAGUCGGAAACGGUUGCUAAUACUGGAUAUGAGCUUGCAAGGCAUCUUGUGGGUUGGAAAGAUUUUUUUUGGUUGGGGAUGGACUCGCGGCCUAUCAGCUUGUUGGUGAGGUAGUGGCUCACCAAGGCUUCGACGGGUAGCCGGCCUGAGAGGGCGUCCGGCCACAUUGGGACUGAGAUACGGCCCAAACUCCUACGGGAGGCAGCAGUGGGGAAUAUUGCACAAUGGACGGAAGUCUGAUGCAGCAACGCCGCGUGCGGGAUGACGGCCUUCGGGUUGUAAACCGCUUUCAAUUGUGACGAAGCUUUUUUGUGACGGUAGCAGUAGAAGAAGCACCGGCUAACUACGUA
rnacentral:rRNA from 1 species